rnacentral:rRNA from 1 species
GACGAACGCUGGCGGCGUGCCUAAUACAUGCGAGUUGAGCGAUGAAGAUUGGUGCUUGCACCAAUUUGAAGAGCAGCGAACGGGUGAGUAACGCGUGGGGAAUCUGCCUUUGAGCGGGGGACAACAUUUGGAAACGAAUGCUAAUACCGCAUAACAACUUUAAACAUAAGUUUUAAGUUUGAAAGAUGCAAUUGCAUCACUCAAAGAUGAUCCCGCGUUGUAUUAGCUAGUUGGUGAGGUAAGGGCUCACCAAGGCGAUGAUACAUAGCCGACCUGAGAGGGUGAUCGGCCACAUUGGGACUGAGACACGGCCCAAGCUCCUACGGGAGGCAGCAGUAGGGAAUCUUCGGCAAUGGACGAAAGUCUGACCGAGCAACGCCGCGUGAGUGAAGAAGGUUUUCGGAUCGUAAAACUCUGUUGGUAGAGAAGAACGUUGGUGAGAGUGGAAAGCUCAUCAAGUGACGGUAACUACCCAGAAAGGGACGGCUAACUACGUG